GGGAGCUUUCCCGAGUGGCCAAUGGGGACAGACUGUAAAUCUGCUGCGUAAUGCUUCGGUGGUUCGAAUCCACCAGCUCCCACCA
rnacentral:tRNA from 8 species